rnacentral:rRNA from 1 species
CACGUAGUUAGCCGGGGCUUCUUAGUCAGGUACCGUCCUCCUUCUUCCCUGCCGAUAGGGCUUUGCGCGCCGAAACGCUCCUUCACCCACGCGGCGUCGCUGCAUCAGGGUUCCCCCCAUUGUGCAAUAUCCCCCACUGCUGCCUCCCGUAGGAGUCUGGGCCGUGUCUCAGUCCCAGUGUGGCCGUCCGCCCUCUCAGGCCGGCUACUGAUCGUCGCCUUGGUAGGCCGUUACCCUGCCAACCAGCUAAUCAGACGCGGGCCCAUCCUGUACCACCGGAGUUUUCAGGGGGUGCCAUGCGGCUCCCCCCGUUAUGCGGUAUUAGCACCUAUUUCUAAGUGUUGUCCCCCUGUACAGGGCAGGUUGCCCACGCGUUACUCACCCGUCCGCCACUCAUGCACGGGGCUUCCGGCCGGAGCCUUCCAUCCCGUACACCCGUUCGACUUGCAUGUGUUAGGCACGCCGCCAGCCGUUCAUCCCUGACGCCAGGACUCAAACUCU